rnacentral:rRNA from 1 species
CCAGUACUGUGAAGGAAAGGUGAAAAGAACCCCGGGAGGGGAGUGAAAUAGAUCCUGAAACCGCAUACAUACAAACAGUAGGAGCCUCGUUAAGGGGUGACUGCGUACCUUUUGCAUAAUGGGUCAGCGACUUACGUUUAAUGGCGAGCUUAACCGUAUAGGGGAGGCGCAGCGAAAGCGAGUUCGAACAGAGCGUUCAGUCGUUAGGCGUAGACCCGAAACCAGAUGAUCUAUCCAUGGCCAGGUUGAAGGUGUGGUAACACACACUGGAGGACCGAACCGACUAGUGUUGCAAAAUUAGCGGAUGAGCUGUGGAUAGGGGUGAAAGGCUAAACAAAUCUGGAGAUAGCUGGUUCUCCCCGAAAACUAUUGAGGUAGUGCCUCGUGUAUGGCUCCAGGGGGUAGAGCACUGUUAUGGCUAGGGGGACAUGGCGUCUUACCAAACCAUGGCAAACUCCGAAUACUUGGAAGUUUGAGCACGGGAGACAGAGCACCGGGUGCUAACGUCCGGACUCAAGAGGGAAACAACCCAGACCGCCGGCUAAGGUCCCUAAUAUUGACUAAGUGGAAAACGAAGUGGGAAGGCUAAGACAGUCAGGAAGUUGGCUUAGAAGCAGCCAUCCUUCAAAGAAAGCGUAAUAGCUCACUGAUCGAGUCUUCCUGCGCGGAAGAUGUAACGGGGCUAAGUCAAUAACCGAAGCCGCGGAUUCGCAGCAAUGCGAGUGGUAGGGGAGCGUUCUGUAAGCCUGCGAAGGCGGAUCCGCGAGGACCGCUGGAGGUAUCAGAAGUGCGAAUGCUGACAUGAGUAACGUUAAAGCGGGUGAAAAGCCCGCUCGCCGCAAGCCCAAGGUUUCCUGCUCUACGUUCAUCGGAGCAGGGUGAGUCGGCCCCUAAGGUGAGGCUGAGAAGCGUAACUGAUGGGAACAAGGUUAAUAUUCCUUGACCACCGCUGAAUGCGAAGGGGGGACGGAGUAUUGAAGAUCAUCCGGGUGUUGGAUAUCCCGGUUUACGAGCGUAGGAGGUUGACAGGCAAAUCCGUCAACGGAUCUCCAAGGCGAAGGAUCGAGGUUGAGAGAUCAACUGAAGUGACUGAAUGGGCUUCCAGGAAAAGCCUCUAAGCAUCAGCUUGGAAUUGACCGUACCGCAAACCGACACUGGUGGGCGAGCUGAAUAUGCUCAGGCGCUUGAGAGAACUCAGGAGAAGGAACUCGGCAAAUUGACACCGUAACUUCGGGAUAAGGUGUGCCUUUGUAGUGUGAAGGGAGAAACACCCCGAGCAUGAAGAGGCCUCAGAGAAUCGGUGGCUGCAACUGUUUACUAAAAACACAGCACUCUGCAAAGAUGAAAGUCGACGUAUAGGGUGUGAUGCCUGCCCGGUGCUGGAAGAUUAAUUGAUGGGGUGCAAGCUCCUGAUCGAAGUCCCAGUAAACGGCGGCCGUAACUAUAACGGUCCUAAGGUAGCGAAAUUCCUUGUC